rnacentral:rRNA from 1 species
AGAGUUUGAUCCUGGCUCAGAACGAACGCUGGCGGCAGGCCUAACACAUGCAAGUCGAGCGCGAAAGCACUUCGGUGUGAGUAGAGCGGCGGACGGGUGAGUAACGCGUAGGAAUCUACCUGGUAGUGGGGGACAACUCGGGGAAACUCGAGCUAAUACCGCAUACGCCCUACGGGGGAAAGCGGGGGACCUUCGGGCCUCGCGCUACCAGAUGAGCCCGCACUUGAUUAGUUUGUUGGUGGGGUAAUGGCCUACCAAGACUGUGAUCAAUAGCUGAUUUGAGAGGAUGAUCAGCCACAUUGGGACUGAGACACGGCCCAAACUCCUACGGGAGGCAGCAGUGGGGAAUCUUGCACAAUGGAGGAAACUCUGAUGCAGCGAUGCCGCGUGAGUGAAGAAGGCCCUUGGGUUGUAAAGCUCUUUCGUCGGGGAAGAAAAUGACUGUACCCGAAUAAGAAGGUCCGGCUAACUUCGUGCCAGCAGCCGCGGUAAUACGAAGGGACCUAGCGUAGUUCGGAAUUACUGGGCUUAAAGAGUUCGUAGGUGGUUGAAAAAGUUAGUGGUGAAAUCCCAGAGCUUAACUCUGGAACUGCCAUUAAAACUUUUCAGCUAGAGUAUGAUAGAGGAAAGCAGAAUUUCUAGUGUAGAGGUGAAAUUCGUAGAUAUUAGAAAGAAUACCAAUUGCGAAGGCAGCUUUCUGGAUCAUUACUGACACUGAGGAACGAAAGCAUGGGUAGCGAAGAGGAUUAGAUACCCUCGUAGUCCAUGCCCGUAAACGAUGUGUGUUAGACGUUGGAAAUUUAUUUUCAGUGUC